rnacentral:rRNA from 1 species
GAUGAACGCUGGCGGCGUGCCUAAUACAUGCAAGUCGAGCGAACGGACGAGAAGCUUGCUUUUCUGAUGUUAGCGGCGGACGGGUGAGUAACACGUGGAUAACCUACCUAUAAGACUGGGAUAACUUCGGGAAACCGGAGCUAAUACCGGAUAAUAUUUUGAACCGCAUGGUUCAAAAGUGAAAGACGGUCUUGCUGUCACUUAUAGAUGGAUCCGCGCUGCAUUAGCUAGUUGGUAAGGUAACGGCUUACCAAGGCAACGAUGCAUAGCCGACCUGAGAGGGGGAUCGGCAAAAAUGGAACUGGGAAACGGUCCAGACCCCUAGGGGAGGCAGCAGUAGGGAAUUUUCCGCAAUGGGCGAAAGCCGAACGGAGCAACGCCGCGGGAGUGAUGAAGGUUUUCGGAUCGUAAAACUCUUUUAUUAGGGAAAAAAAUAUGUGAAAGUAACUGUGCAAAUUUUGACGGUACCUAAGCAGAAAGCCACGGAUAACUACGG